GAAGCACCUCAGCCAAGUGAGCAAAGAGCAAGUUCCCCGGGGAGGCUGGUGCUGCCUGUCAGGAGACCACGUAUGGAGCAGCACUAGUUUAAGGAAGGAGAAACAAAGGCAACGAGGUGCUGCUGGGCUUGCCUGCACAAGUAAACCACUUGUACGCCAACCCUUGUCUCAGGGUCUGCUUCCAGGGGAACUCAAACUAAGAUCGGCGGUGAGGGCAGGCUUCUCUCAAAGGUGCCACCGGAGCACAUACCUAAUCCCGAGAAGCAGGCAGCUAAGCGGAGGAAGAGAAGGAAGAAGCUAUCCUAUCCGAGAUUCACAGUGUUUCAGAUGUCCUUCAUUCGCUUGGUAUUAAUUAAGCAUCUACUCUGUGGAAGGCACUAGCACUUUAGCAUGGAAAACCUUCUCCUGAAGGUGCUGGAUGUUCAGGUAAAGAGGUGGCUCUGGGAACAGAGGCAGUAACAGAGUGAGAGAAGUAUAUCCAAGGUGCUUAACAUUGUGUUGUGUUCAAGGAAAUAAAUAUUCAGAGG